GGAUGAAAUUUGAAAAAAAUAGGCAGGACAGGAGUUUUGAGUAAAAAAAAAAGGCAGGAUGAGACACUUUGCAAAAAAAAAAAAGGCAGGAUGACAAUUUAGGUAAAAAAAAAGUCAGGAUAAACUAAUAAAAAAAAGGCAGGACCGAAUAGAGUGAAAAAUAAAAAGGCAGGACCGAGAUUACAACUAAAAAAAAAUGCAGGACAAAAUUUUUCAUCCUAGCCCCCCCCC
rnacentral:lncRNA from 1 species